rnacentral:tRNA from 1 species
UAAUGAAUUGCCUGAUUAAAGGAUUACUUUGAUAGAGUAAAAUAUGUAAAAUAUUACAUUCAUUAU